GUAUCUGAAGAGGUAGAUGAGAUGUAUCUUUCUUAUCUCGAUGUGGUUUAUGUUGAUCGUCAUGCUUAGAGUGUCAUCCCACUUGUUUGUCACAGGUUUAUUCCUUCCAAAUAAUUUAAAUUUGUUGUCACGACUAUGUUGAAACAGAAGUAUCAAAAACCUUAUAAAACUUGGGGUGAAGUAAGAAAGCAAGAAAAUAUAAUUGACUGUAUAAAUUAAAGAUGGCGAGAAAUAUUGGAACAUGAGGAGUCGAUGCAAAGACUUAUUGAGACUAUUAUGAAGAGGGAGGAAGACCAAAUGCAAGAGUUUGAGAAUCGAUUAAGGAGAAGAUGCUACCAUCUCACCAUUAUAAUUAUGAGCGGCAGAUGCAACCACUACGACCUCCUCAUUUGUCCACCUCAUACCAAUAUCCUUCCUAGCUUCAACCGGGAGGAUAUUUUUCGACCAUAUAUGUCAUCUGUAAUAAUUGACCUAAUUUGAAUUAGCCAUAUCUGUCGACAUCUUUUCAUGAGCAAUCAUCGUAAAUUGCUCCAAUUCAGCCAUCUAUGUUGAUAUCUAGACAAUUUAUUCUUCCUUCGGUUGGUCCCAAUUCCCGAAUCUUGUU